UUUUGAUAAUGCCCCAGUUGGCUGUUCUGCUGAUUCUCGAGAUGCAGCUGAGUGUGAUCUUCUUUUCUUGCUCAAGAAGUCGGGAAAUCUCGUCAGGAAUCCCUUCAACAAUCAUCUUCGUUCGCUUCGAAUACAGGGAAUUCAAAAUUGGGAGAUGACGUCCGAUCAUUAUGUUCAAUGGGUUUGAGAAAAAACCUGCAUAAAGAUUUUGAUAUGAAAAGCUCUUUGAAAAUCAAACAAGACAAUCAUUAUGCAGAUGAAAAGAUUGCUUUUAUUCUUGUUUUUUA
rnacentral:lncRNA from 1 species